CUCGGACUGGAUUUAAACAGACUAAGUCAUGGCCCCCCCCACUCCACUCCCCGCUUUUCCCCUUCUGGGAGCAGCUGGAUGUGAGGAAAGGGGUUCCGUGAAUGUAGAUGGAAGGUCAGUAACUACAACCGCGAAAAAGCAUCAGUUCUGCCCCUUUGCCAAUUCGGGGGGGAAGAGACGGUUUUUGAAGGACGAAGCUGGGAAGCCUCUCGACCCUGCUCUCCCAAGAGACCUAAGAGAGCCUGUUUAUUGCCAUAACAACCCACUCAAAACCCCUCCCUUCUUUGCUGAAAGGGGCAGAGCUUAAUAUCCUGACCAGGCAUACGUCCUCACCAGGCAGUGUCCAGAAUAUCCCUGGGGGAAUAUACCUACUCUUACCACUCCAAUUGAAGCUCCUACGCCUGUCACUGAAAUGCAACAGUGCCCCGUGAUAAUGUAGAGGGGGAGAGGAGAAACGACCAACAUCCUCACCACCCAGGGGCCAACAAGACCAGUAACAGAAUCGAAGUAGCAAUCUCAGUGGGAAACAUGUGGAUGGUAGAUUUUCCUCCUACUUUUUCCUCAUUGUUUAUAAAAUAA